rnacentral:lncRNA from 1 species
UUUCUGCCCAGCACGUCCAAAUCCAUGUUUUUUGGUGGAAAAGCGGGAGUUUUUUGGCACCAUGGGAACAUCCGGGGAGAGCCGGUGGAUCCCUGCGGAAUCUCCGAGUCCUGGCCAGGAAUUCCAGGUCUCUGUGAUCCCAGGGAAGGGUUAAAACCCCCGGGAUCCCAAAAAAAAACAAACGCGGGGAGCGGGAAUGUCCUGCUGGAGGUGAAGCCAAGCGCGGGUCUGAUGGGAAGCGACAGGCGAGAGGACACGCGGGAUCCUGGAAUCCCAUUAUCCCGAGCCCAGGGAAAGCCAUUAACCUCUGGAAGCGGCCACGCUUCCCCCUCCUCCUCCUCCUCCUCCCCCUCCUCUUCCUCCUCUUCUUCCCGGCCUUUCCCAGUAUUUCUCCCCCCAGCCUCGGGAACAAAGCGCGGCCUACAGGUGGGGAAACUGAGGCAGGGGAUGUGGGGGAGGCUCCUCAGGGAUGUGGAGGAGGAGGAAAAGCAAGAGCAGCAGGAGGAGGAGGAGGCUGGUGGCCAGGCCAGAUGGCCGGGAUUAAUUUUCCUCCCCCCCGGCAGCGCCAGGGAUGCGGGGUCCGCGAAUCCCACAAGUUCCCGGCGGCUGUGCUCGAAUCCAUCCCAAAAUCCCACAGAAACGCAUUCCCGGGGCGGGGUGGGGGCCUUCAAAGCAGGGAAAUAUCCCCGGGAAACGGCGGGGAUUGGGAAGCAGGCAAGGAUUUCCCUCCCUAAAUCCGAAACCCCAAAUCCCUGCUGGGGAGGAGGGGGAAGAGGACAGGGAUUUCCUUCCCGAAAAUCUCAAAUCCCAAAUCCACACCGGGCCCAAACUGAAGUGUGUGUGUGGGAUCCUUCCUAAACCCAGAAUCCUUGGAAAACCGCUCCGGUUUUCGUGACAAUCCAGUGCCUCCCGGCCCACCUGGAAUUCUGCCGGCCUUCUUUCCAUGAUAUUUUAUUUAUGGCCUCCCGGGGACGUGUUGAUCCAGGGAAUUCUGCUCCGAAAGCGCCAUCAAAAUUCAGCGCACGGAGCAACCUGUGCUCCACCAGCUGGAUCCGUGUUCCAGGGGCGGCCGGACCUCUGCCCCCGGCCGCGCUUCCCGGGGGAUGCAGCAGCUCCAGCCGGAGCUUCCCGCUGGCUCCAGCCCUCCUCCCCGAUUUUGGGGAACAAAAGCGGGGCCCCGAGCAUCGGUUGCCGUGGCAACGGCGAGUUUGAAGAUGCCUGGUGGUACUUGAGGAGCGGGGAGGAGAAGGUCGCGGCCUGCU